rnacentral:rRNA from 1 species
GACGAACGCUGGCGGCGUGCUUAACACAUGCAAGUCGAACGGAAAGGCCCUGCUUUUGUGGGGUGCUCGAGUGGCGAACGGGUGAGUAACACGUGAGUAACCUGCCCUUGACUUUGGGAUAACUUCAGGAAACUGGGGCUAAUACCGGAUAGGAGCUCCUGCUGCAUGGUGGGGGUUGGAAAGUUUCGGCGGUUGGGGAUGGACUCGCGGCUUACCAGCUUGUUGGUGGGGUAGUGGCUUACCAAGGCUUUGACGGGUAGCCGGCCUGAGAGGGGGACCGGCCACAUUGGGACUGAGGUACGGCCCAGACUCCUACGGGAGGCAGCAGUGGGGAAUAUUGCACAGUGGGCGGAAGCCUGAUGCAGCAACGCCGCGUGCGGGAUGACGGCCUUCGGGUUGUAAACCGCUUUCGCCUGUGACGAAGCGUGAGUGACGGUAAUGGGUAAAGAAGCACCGGCUAACUACGUG